UGCGUAGGCGGUUUUCUAAGUCACGUGUGAAAUCUUCUGGCUCAACCAGAAAACUGCGCGUGAAACUAGUUAACUUGAGUGAGGUAGGGGUGUGUGGAACUUCCGGUGGAGCGGUGAAAUGUGUAGAGAUCGGAAGGAACGCCAGCAGCGAAAGCGGCACACUGGGCCUUUUCUGACGCUGAGGCACGAAAGCUAGGGGAGUGAACG
rnacentral:rRNA from 1 species